UACGUAGGGGGCAAGCGUUGUCCGGAUUCAUUGGGCGUAAAGAGCGUGUAGGCGGCCAGGUAGGUCGGUUGUGAAAACUGGAGGCUCAACCUUCAGAGGUCGACCGAAACCAUCUGGCUAGAGUCCGGGAGAGGAGAGUGGAAUUCCUGGUGUAGCGGUGAAAUGCGCAGAUAUCGGGAGGAACACCAGUGGCGAAGGCGACUACCUGGCCUGUUCUUGACGCUGAGGCGCGAAAGCUAGGGGAGCAAACGGG
rnacentral:rRNA from 1 species